rnacentral:rRNA from 1 species
AGUGAACGCUGGCGGUAGGCCUAACACAUGCAAGUCGAACGGCAGCACAGUAAGAGCUUGCUCUUACGGGUGGCGAGUGGCGGACGGGUGAGGAAUACAUCGGAAUCUACUUUUUCGUGGGGGAUAACGUAGGGAAACUUACGCUAAUACCGCAUACGACCUACGGGUGAAAGCAGGGGAUCUUCGGACCUUGCGCGAUUGAAUGAGCCGAUGUCGGAUUAGCUAGUUGGCGGGGUAAAGGCCCACCAAGGCGACGAUCCGUAGCUGGUCUGAGAGGAUGAUCGGCCACCCUGGAACUGAGACACGGUCCAGGCUCCUACGGGGGGCAGCAGUGGGGAAUAUUGGACAAUGGGCGCAAGCCUGAUCCAGCCAUACCGCGUGGGUGAAGAAGGCCUUCGGGUUGUAAAGCCCUUUUGUUGGGAAAGAAAAGCAGCAGGUUAAUACCCCGCUGUUCUGACGGUACCCAAAGAAUAAGCACCGGCUAACUUCGUG